GUAACUGUUGGGCAGAGCCUAGAAGGAACGCCUCCACUUAGUUUGUCAGUUAUACUCAUCUGAAACAGGCAAAUGUGAUGUAAAAGCACAGUAUGAUACAUUAGCACUGAGUCGUUACCCAGGGACACUCCAUACGUGCUUUGAUGUACUUCGAAGACGGUGCCCUGUAAGGAUCAGGAAGUGAGGAUGCCCACUGAGACGUUCGUCGUAACAGGAAAACAGAGGCCAUAGACAGCAUGAGUAGACCAGGUCCUCUCAGUUGUUACUUUGUGUUGGAAGCCAAACUAUAGCAAUGUUUAUUUACAAUGUCAAUAAAGAUGAUUAUCAUGAAGAUGAGAAUACAUCAUGGCGUCUUCAUCCUCUUGAUCUUUCCCUGUAGAGACACUGACCAACCGGACGCUGGAGCAACGAGGAGACUGUAACCAUGGAAUGCAAGCAAAAGGAUCUACAUUAGUGGGUGCUUAACAGUGUCGGGCACACAUGGCUACUCCCAGCUCACUUUAGGGAAGGCCUUCUCAAUGGACUCUGAACCCCUGGCACAUUCGAUGACAGGAUCGCACUUCUCACACAUUAAGAAUGGCUGUGUGGCAGAGUCGAGAUUAACAAGUUGUUGGCUAACCUUUCUGCUUGUUCAGCCUACAGAGGACCAUCUUCUUCCCAGCUCUCCCCAUGCUGCUCACCAGCCUGCGAAUGCAGACACACAAUGGCUUGCAGCUCAUUGAUCUUAGAAGCCACUCAGAGAGGCUCCGAGUUGGAUCUGGCAACAGAGACCUGCUCCAGAGUUUGUGUGACCUGAACCUCCAGGUGGGUCAUUUGGUGCAGAAGAGUUGGUCUUACCUCUGCUCUCAGGUAUGUAGGCACCCCUGGUGACUGGCUUUUAGCUCUCUGGGCAGCCAGCCACCUGAAGGGUCCUUCCUUCCCCUGACUGCUCCUAGUUCCCUGUUUCCAGAGAGCACAGAUGAUACGAAGUGGUUUCCUCUUGGGUCAGGAAUGUGGGCAGAAAGUAGUUGUCUCCUCUGAGUUCUCAGGAUUGACUGCACUUCUGAGGGUCCAACUCUCUCUCCCACAGGAUUUGGGUGCAGAGAGCUGUGGGACCUGUUCAGUUCAGUUAUGGGCGCAGAUAGAAACCAGCAGUUCCUAAUGCUGACUGCUCCUAUCUAUAUUCCUGUAUCCAGAGGCUACUAUGCAGGUUCCUCUUGGACCAGGAAUGUGAGCAGAAGUGGGCAGAAGUGUCAGUCUCCCCUGAGAUCUCAAGAUUGUCCGCACCUCUGGGAGUUCAGCUCUGUCCCCCACGGGAUUUGGGUGCAGAGAGUUGUUUUAGUUAUUCUUUUAACAGAAUAAAGAAAGCACAGAAUGAAAUAACAUCAAUAUGCUCACAUACAUCAUUAAGUCACAUGUUACCUAGAGAAAUGCAUAUUUAAUCUGUAGAAAAACAAAUGCAUAUAUGUGAAGAUAAUUUUUAAUUAAAAUAUUUUAUUGUCACUUGUUUUGUUUUGUCUUAGUUUUUGGUUUUUUGAGACAGGGGUUCCCUGUGGAGCCCUGGCUGUCCUGGAACUCACUCUAUAGACCAGGCUGUCUUUGAACUCAGACAUCUGCCUCCCUUUGCCUCCCCAGUGCCACCAGCACCCUGUUAUUGUUUUUGAAAGGGUCUUUCUAUAUAGACCAGAUAGAUUUAAACUCACAGAGGACCACCUGCCUCUGCUUCCAGGAAUGUUGGGAUUAAAAAGUAUGUGGCAGAGGUUGGGGAUUUAGCUCAGUGGUAGAGUGCUUGCCUAGCAAGGGCAAGGCCCUGGGUUCGGUCCCCAGCUCUGAAAAAAAAAAAAAAGUAUGUGGCAGCAUGCCUACCUUGUCCCUCUUGAAGAAUCUGUAUUUGUCUGCUCUAUACCUGCAGUCUAUAUAGACUCUUUUGUCACGAGUUGAUGUCUGAUGAUAAAGUCUGCUGGAAGAAUGAGCUUCCUUCUGUGGCUGAGUUCAUGAACUCUGUCCAUGCUGCUGCUGGUGAGUCCCCUUUUCAGCCUUGGCAUGGUCACUGAGAGUGGAGCGAUCAUGUUCCUGACAUCGUCACUGAGAGUGGAGUGAUCAUGUUGAUGAGCAUCCUGCACACGUUUAAUGAGGGAGUGACUUUUGCUUAGGGCUUAUCUUCUACAAUGAUGAAGAUACACCUGGGUUUCCCCUGGGUCCUCUCUUCAAAGCUUCAAGGAUGGUUCGCCUUUGCUCCCACCUUCUCUAUCAAUUGUCACCAAAUGAAAUAGCCUGGACCAGGAACUCAAGUCUAGAUGCCCUUAUCAGGAGACGGAAGAAGCACUUGAGUUAGCAGUAGAACUAGGGAGAGCCACAGACAAGUAUUCCCUAUGUGGAGCUGAUUCAUGACCAUGUGUGGAACUCAGAAUCCUGAAUUGUACCGCACACAUCCAGUACCCUUGUGUGCUGUGAAGAACCUGUCACUGCAAGUUUUUUAAAGUUUCACUACAUACACUAUUACCUUCCCUUCCCUCCUACGCUGAUUCUCAUUGAUAUAGUCAACUUAUAUCACAAAGAAUUUUUAGUCUUGUUAUGGCCCUUGAAUGUGGCUUUGAAAUUUAUAAAUUUUAAAAAUGAGUAUUUUUUUUUCUGGAUUUGUGAGGUGGCUGAGUGGAUAAGACACUUUCUGCUCAAGUUUGAAAACCUGAUCAAUGCCUAGAACUCAUGUGAAGUUAGAAGGGGAGAGCAGACUCACAAAGAUGGCCUCCAACAACUAGGACACUUACCUGCACACAUGUACACAACACUAAUAACAAAUAAAACAAUCUCAGUAAGGUGGCAGUGGUGCACACCUUUAAUCUUACCACUUGGGAAGCAAAGGCAGGCAGAUCUCUGAGUUCAAGGUCAGCCUGGUCUAUAGAGUGAGUUCUAGGACAGCCGGGGCUACACAGAGAAAUCCUGUCUCAAAAAAUCAAAAACCAAAAUCCAAAAAUUGUAGUGAGAAUUUUGGUUUCUCUAAGAGCCCAAUUAUGUUAUCUGAAUAUGUUUUUGUUUUAAUCCCAGGUGUGUAAUAUAGGAGUGCUUCAGAUUGUCUACAGUGGCUAUGAUUGAUCUCAUCCUCUGGCAGGGGCGUGAUUCUGCCAGUUGAAGGCCGUUUACAUAUGGAAUUCUGGGUACUCUUGAGAGGGUAUAAAAAUGUUCUGAGAAGCUGCUGCUCUCCAAGCUGUUGCACCCCCUAUUGUUGCUGGAUUGCUAUUUGUUGCUUGUUGCUGGUUAAAGAGAUCCUGACAAUGAAAAUUGGACUUGCCCCUAGGAACUCUACGCCCUAAUCAUUGGGUAGAAAGGUUGAUGUCCCAUUUCCCCUCUAAUUUUCUUUCUCUCCUACCUUUUGUUGAUGGGUUGGAAAGGAUAUGUGUGGAGUAGGGUAGAAGGGAGGUAGAGAUAUAAGAACCCAAUACAGUAACCAAAAGUUAUGGUUAUAAAUGGCACCCAAAAUGGGGCUAGGUAAAAUGGGAAAGUUGGUUUCUAUUUCUGUAGAGGAGAUGGCAGGGUAGGAAGGGAUGGGUAUUCUGUUUCAGGAUGUCAACAAAAAGUUUAUUAUAGGGACUGCCAUUGGAUACUCCCUUGCUUUGCUCCCAGAGGGGAUUUUCUGUUUUGUUUUCCUCUCCUUCUUCUCCUCCUCCUCCUUUUCCUCCUUCUCCUUCUCCUUCUCCUUCCUCUUUUUCUUCUACUUCUUUUUCCUUUUUCUAUAUUUUGCCUCAAAAGAAAAUUUGGGAGAAUGGCUUAACAACUGGAAAAGUUGCAGGUAGAUAUGGAAAGAUCUGAGAAACACAAAUUGUAUGAAAAUCUUCUGGGAUACCAGAAGGGUCGAAAGAGUUGCAGUAUUGGCUGUGCACUGGGGAGGUUAUGGGUAGAGGUGGAAGUGCUUCGAAAGGGAGGAGCAAUGGAAAAGGGAGAACAAAAGGCUCAGAUCUGGUGACUGAAAGCUGGAUCAUCCUGCAGAAUGAAAGAGGGAAGCAAAUCGACCUAGAAGGCAGAUAGAUCACUGCUCUGCCCAGUCUCAAAUCCCUGAAGCUUCUGGGUGGGGCAGAGAACCUGUUGUGUGGCCGAGGAGUGGGGGCGGGGGGAGGAAGCUGAAACAGCCCAUUUCAAGAGAAAGGAUUAAUCUUGAGCCAAUUGUGCUGCCAGAGGAGGGUCCUGUGCUUACAAAAUCACCAUGGGUUUUCCCAGUCAUUGUGCAGCACAUGCCUGCUAAUGAUACAGAUCAUGAUUUUGAUGAGAUAGCAUGGCAUCCUAUAGAAAUGAUAGGCCUGAGGCGUUUUAAAGAGGCUAUAGUUUCCUAUGGAAUUCAUUCCCCUUAAGUUAAACAAAUAUUAGGUAACUGGGCUACCCAAAAUAGAGUUAUUCCCCAAGACUGGAAAGGUUUGGUCACAGCAGUUAGCAGUGGUUAAUGUGGUGGAGGGAGAAAGCCUUGAAUAUUGAACAAUGAAAUGGAGCAAGGGGAAUGGCUAUUGUUAAAGAUCAACUGCUUGGAGAAGGGUGAGUUUCUGAACUACAGGAGCUGAUUUGAUGAUGCUGUUAUAGAGCAGUGUCACUUGGCUGCUUUAAGGCUUGGGACAAAGUUGAGGAGUCCAGGAAUAGAUCUGCUUCAUUCACUAAGAUUGUACAAGGCUCUGAGGAAGACUUCACAGAUCUCUAGUGAAGAUUGGUUUCAGCUGUAAACAAAGCCCCAUCAGGCCCUGAGGCCAGACAGGUGUUGAUAGGGACCUUUGAGAAUGUGAAUACAGACUGUGAGAGUGAUUAGACCCUUAAAGACUGAGCAGCAGCAGUGGAUGAGUGGAUGAGGGACAUGACUGGUAUUGGCUCCGUGAGGAUCAUGCCAGUAUCACAAGCUAUACCUAAAGGUCUCAGAUACCAGAAUACCUCAUGCUUUGAGUAUGGUGAAUAAUGCCAUUUACAAAGAAAUUCUGACCAAGUUUGUAUAAAUCUCAGAACUCAAAUUUUCUGGUGCAGUAACUUUGAGAAAUACAGCACUUUCUGAGACAGAUCUCAAAAUGUCAGUGCAUUAACUGAGAGAAAUAUGGUGCUUUCUCUCCAGAUAAGGAAACAAAUAACAGUAAUGGGUUCCCAAGAUGUAAACCAGAAAAAAAAAAAAAAAACCUAGGCUUUCCAGGGUAUGCAGACACUUGGCAGGGGUACCACUGGACUAAUAAGUAAUUAGAUAAUUUCUUGUCAUCAGGAAACAAAGUGGUGGCCCUACCAUCUCAAAACUCCACAGUAAAAAAAUACAAGUGCUUUCCUUCUGACCAGCAAGGAGAUAAUAAGCAGACAGAGACUCUGAAAUGAUGGGAAGAAAAGACACAGGAGCUGGGUGCCGCUGAAGAAGACAGAGGUGCUGCUGCAGUUUUCUGAGGAAUGAGGAUGUAGAAUGGCCCAUUCUGACUCUCUCUCUUUUCUAAAAAAAAGUUCUUUUUCUUGUGUAUGAGUGUUCUGCUGUAUAUAUGCAUACCGCAUGCACGCCUGGUGCUCACAGAAUCGAAAAAGAGUAUCAGAUCCUCUGAAACUGGAGUUAUGGACAGUUGAGUGCCUUGUGUGUUCUGGGAACUGAACUUGAAAUCUCUUGUCUCCCCCCACCCCACCCCCCCGCGCCUCCCAUGUAGUAGUUUAGGCCUACCUCCAAGUCACUUAGAGCCAAGAAUGUCUUUGAAUUUCUGCUUCUGCUGCCUCCUUUCUUCCACAGGUUGGAAUUAGAAACCUGCACACGGCACCCGGUUUAUACCGGCUGGGAUGGAACUCGGGGCCCCAUGCACACCAAGCAAGUACUCUGCCAACUGAACUACAUCUCCAGCCGUGAUUUACUCUCUGUGCUGAGAUGUCUUUUUUUCCCAUAGUUUGAACCUUUAGAAGACCUCUAAGGUACCAGGCCUCGCCCUUAUAACCAGAGCAAGCACAGGGGCAGUGUUCAUGGUGAGGUUGAGAGUUCUCUGGAGGGAGGAACACAGGAGGGAACAGGGUUGAAGGCUGUGUUAAGGAGAAUUCCUGCAAAGAAACUGUCUACAGAGACUGAUAGACUCACAAAAACUUGAAUGAUUCCAGAGAGUUGGGAAUGCUGCUGAUCUAAUAGCCUAAUAACAUUUCUUCUGGUCUAUUUUUAGAUACAGAGACUGGCAUGACCCUGGUGGGGACAGAGUGACAUGGUUCCUGCCCCAGGAACCAGGCCUGGGUGUGAGCGUCCACAAGUGUGGAUGGUUGCAUAUUUAUAUAACAAUGUAUAUGUUUUCACGCUCCUCUAAGAGUGUCCUCGCUGUUAAUGUUAACAGGUAGCAGGAGUCCAGGAGGUGAAGAGUGUAGCUGAUGACUCAGCAAAAUGAGAUCCUGGAAGAAUGAAUGCUGUCUGGAGAAGACAAGGUAGCCAGGGACAAGUUUGACAGGAGGCCUUGGGCUGCUCACUGCGCGAGGAAUGGGUAUUUGCAGAGGCUGUGUUGAUAACGGACGACCUUGCAGAACGUCUUAUCUGAACCAGGUAGAUCUAUGCCCAAAACCCCUCAGGUCACUCCAGGCACAAGUGUGCACCAUCUCCAGUUCACACCACCUCUGCUGACAAGUGGAGGAUGAGCUAGAGGAACCUAAGGAAAGCCCAGGAGUGGGCCGGCUGGAGGGCGGAGGCCGAAGAGAAGCACCCAGCUGGAGGGCAGAAGCCAAGGAGGAGCACCCAGCUGGAGGGCGGAGGCCGAGGAGGAGCACCCAUCCGGAGGGCGGAGGCCGAGGAGGAGCACCCAUCCGGAGGGCGGAGGCCGAGGAGGAGCACCCAUCCGGAGGGCGGAGGCCGAGGAGGAGCACCGGAAAAGUUGAGGUGGCAGAAAGCUGCUCUGCUCAUAGAAUUCUGGGACUCACACUGCACAGAUCACAGGAGAAAAUAAAAUCGUGUGACUUGAAACAAUGAAGACAUCCUGCAAAA